AGAGUGCGCGCCGUUUUGGGUGUCCCGAUGCCGUUCGGCAGAAGGAUGAAACGGGAAGUCCGGUGCGAUUGAUUAUCAGUCAAUUCCGGCGCAGCCCCCGCUACUGUAGACCUGACAACGCUGUUCAGAACCACUGGGAGACCGGGAAGGAGAACAGCCGCGGAUGAAGGUAAGCCAGGAGACCGGCCCGAAGCACGGCAUGACG
rnacentral:ncRNA from 2 species